rnacentral:rRNA from 1 species
UACGGGGGGGAGCAAGCGUUGUUCGGAUUUACUGGGCGUAAAGGGCGCGUAGGCGGCCACCGCAAGUCAAUUGUGAAAUCUCCGGGCUUAACUCGGAACGGUCAAGUGAUACUGCCGGACUAGAGUUCGGAAGAGGCGAGUGGAAUUCCCGGUGUAGCGGUGAAAUGCGCAGAUAUCGGGAGGAACACCAAUGGCGAAGGCAGCUCGCUGGGACGUUACUGACGCUGAGACGCGAAAGCGUGGGGAGCAAACAGG